GAUGAACGCUGGCGGCGUGCCUAAUACAUGCAAGUCGAGCGAACAGAUGAGGAGCUUGCUCCUCUGACGUUAGCGGCGGACGGGUGAGUAACACGUGGAUAACCUACCUAUAAGACUGGGAUAACUUCGGGAAACCGGAGCUAAUACCGGAUAAUAUAUUGAACCGCAUGGUUCAAUAGUGAAAGACGGUUUUGCUGUCACUUAUAGAUGGAUCCGCGCCGCAUUAGCUAGUUGGUAAGGUAACGGCUUACCAAGGCAACGAUGCGUAGCCGACCUGAGAGGGUGAUCGGCCACACUGGAACUGAGACACGGUCCAGACUCCUACGGGAGGCAGCAGUAGGGAAUCUUCCGCAAUGGGCGAAAGCCUGACGGAGCAACGCCGCGUGAGUGAUGAAGGUCUUCGGAUCGUAAAACUCUGUUAUUAGGGAAGAACAAAUGUGUAAGUAACUAUGCACGUCUUGACGGUACCUAAUCAGAAAGCCAGGGCUAACUACGUG
rnacentral:rRNA from 1 species